AUAUUUAAUAUAUGACUUUAUGGCCAUCCAGCAUCAUUUAUCACCUACCAAGUGGAUAUUCACUAACUUUGUAUCCCAGGACUCAGUGUAUUGGAAAAUCUGUACAAAGUUCACACCUUAGAUUACAUAUUAAAGGCUAGUAAAGAGAAGGUUUUCUGUCAUCUGGGGUCAGCGGAAAAUGCUGUAAACACAACACUGACAUAUAAUCACAUCAUAAAGUUGGUUUUCCAACACACAUUUGCUUAUAGUUACACAUCCAGCAGUUACAGAGCAACAUUAUGAUUUAUUUGAAGUUGGGAUUCUGGCCAUUGGAUGAAUGGUCUCCAGGUCUCCAAACAGACUCUCUAGGAUGGCAUUAGCAAUAGGGAGCAUCAUGGCUGUGGUGGCGGUGUUGCUGAGCCACAUGGACAGGAAGGAUGAGUGAGGACCUUUAGGGCGAUUCUGCGAUGCAGGCCCCACUCCUCGAUGGACGACGCCAUCACAAGACCGCUGAGGAAGAGAAAAUUGGUUUCCAGGAAGUACUGAGGACAGACUGUUUUGGAUGGAAGAAUUCCCAGUGUUGGGAAGAGGCAGACCGGAAGCAUUGCCGUGACGGCCAGUGGAAGGGCCUCUGUGCACCAAAACAUAGCCAUCAGCACCACCACAUAAAGACAUUUUCCCUCCUAAAAGAUAAGCAACAUGUGGUUGUUAAUGUUUAGCCAACUUUAAAAAGAAAAAUAUGUGACAGGGG